rnacentral:lncRNA from 1 species
GAGAAGGGUGAAUAUGUGUGUAGGCCAAAAACACAAAUCUCAAUGCAAUAAAAGUAAAUGCAGAAAAUAAAAUAACACACUGAGAUUUACGUGGAAAAACUCCAAUUUGGAGAAAAAAAUCACAGGACCAACACGUGAAAAAAUAAUUCACUAAGAGAAAAAGAUUACAAGGUGAUUACCGAUUCCACGAACUCGACCCUCUCUUUUACCUCCUACGAAUAUCGCGCACGUCACCGGGUUGUCCGCGCCCUACAUCCAAAUCCACGGACGCCACUGUCAC